rnacentral:rRNA from 1 species
GGGAAAGUUGAAAAGAACUUUGAAGAGAGAGUUCAAGAGUACGUGAAACCGUUCAGGGGUAAACCUGAGAAACCCAAAAUAUCGAAAGGGGAGAUUCAUCGUCAGUCGCUUUGGCUUUCGUGUGGUGGGCGAUGAUUAACGAUCUCGAUCUUCGGUCACGUCCCCGCUGCGGUAUGACCAGGGGGAUCGGCGUGCACUUCUCCUCUUGUAGGACGUCGCGACCCGUUGGGUGUCGGUCUACGAGCCGAUUGGUAGCCUUUCUCGCUUACGAGCGAGAAAGACCAUUGGUUUAUUCCGGCCGGCUGCCCGGCGGUAUAGAAUUUACUAUAAACGGUAUUGAGCCGCACAAAGUGCGUUCAGGCCCGUCGACAGGCUCGUCUCGCUCGGAUUUUACGGACCUAGUGCCGUUGCCGGACGUUUGACGCGGCCGUUUGUCGACAGUGUCCUCGGACCGGCUCUUUAUAUUCGAACGGAUAUACCGGUCGGCGACGCUACUGCUUUGGGUACUUUCAGGACCCGUCUU